GACGAACGCUGGCGGCGUGCUUAACACAUGCAAGUCGAACGGAAAGGCCCUGCUUUUGUGGGAUGCUCGAGUGGCGAACGGGUGAGUAACACGGGAGUAACCUGCCCUUGACUUUGGGAUAACUUCAGGAAACUGGGGCUAAUACCGGAUAGGAGCUCCUGCUGCAUGGUGGGGGUUGGAAAGUUUCGGCGGUUGGGGAUGGACUCGCGGCUUAUCAGCUUGUUGGUGGGGUAGUGGCUUACCAAGGCUUUGACGGGUAGCCGGCCUGAGAGGGUGACCGGCCACAUUGGGACUGAGAUACGGCCCAGACUCCUACGGGAGGCAGCAGUGGGGAAUAUUGCACAAUGGGCGGAAGCCUGAUGCAGCAACGCCGCGUGCGGGAUGACGGCCUUCGGUUUGUAAACCGCUUUCGCCUGUGACGAAGCGUGAGUGACGGUAAUGGGUAAAGAAGCACCGGCUAACUACGUG
rnacentral:rRNA from 1 species